GAUCAGUCUGUGCGGCGUGAGGUGUGCGAUAGAGUGGCUGAAUAUUUACUCGUGUCGAGGAUGAAGAAAAAGGAGGCUGGAACAGUAGUGAGCGCACAGCGAUGCUAUGCCUCAGUCCUCAGCCUACUCGCUUUUUGUUGUUUUCAAGUCUGGAAGUCAGAUUCCAGCAGCCCCAUGGCCCCCACUUGAGCUUUCCUCCGUGAAAGCCACUCCAUCGCCGUAAAGAAAGAUUUUUGUUGGGACGUGUUGUGUACAUAUGUUAAGGUUAUGGACACCUUUUCCUCUCCACCGUCGCAAGGUAUUGUCCGCUUUCCCCGACGGCGCCGCCCUACGGGCCACACGCGAUCGACAAGGUAUUGUCCGCUUUCCUCGACGGUGCCGCCCUACGGGCCGCACGCGAUCGACAGGUCACGGUUUUGUCCCAUCUACCCCUCUGGGCAAAAGGCACCUCACGAGGUAAGAGGCGGGCCGCACUACUUAAGCACAUGCACACACCAGAGUUGCCCGAUGUGGGACUAUUAAGG
rnacentral:lncRNA from 1 species